rnacentral:rRNA from 1 species
CCAAACAGAGAUUUAAGAGUUAUUCAACUAAGGUACAGCUUACUUGAAACAGGAUUCAGCCUAAACAACAGGGUAAAAAUUUUAACUAUUAUAUGCAGUGGGCCUAAAAGCAGCCACCUUAAAAAGCGUCAAAGCUUAACAUAAUACACCUCCCCCCAUUCCACUAACAACUGUGAACCCUCCACCCCUACUGAAUGAUGCUAUAAUGUAUAGCAAACACCAUGCUAGGACUAGUAACAAGAAUACAAAAUUCUCCAAAAUGUAAGCAUAAACCAGAACGGACUACCCGCUGGUAGUUAACGAAAAUGAGCCAAUUGCAGCAACACACCCAGAAAACCCUGUAACCACCCCCGUCAACCUAACACUAGAACAUUCCCGGAAAGAUUAACAGAGGGAGAAGGAAUUCGGCAAAUCUCAACCCCGCCUGUUUACCAAAAACAUCGCCUCUUGCCCACCCAUAAGAGGUCUGACCUGCCCAGUGACAAAGUUCAACGGCCGCGGUACCCUAACCGUGCAAAGGUAGCAUAAUCACUUGUUCUCUAAAUAAGGACUAGUAUCAACGGCACCACGAGGGUUGCACUGUCUCCCCCCUCCAAUCAGUGAAACUGAUCUCCCCGUGAAGAAGCGGGGAUACAACUAUAAGACGAGAAGACCCCAUGGAGCUUUAAACUGAACAGCAACUCAACUAUAUCUUUCCCCCAACCACAGAGAUAUGCCCGUCAGUUUUAGGUUGGGGCGACCAUGGAGUAAAAACCAACCUCCACGACGAAAAGAACACAACCUUAUCCCAGAGCCACUUCUCCAAGAAUUAGCACACUAACGAACAAUGACCCGAUCAUCGAUCAACGAACCAAGUUACCCUGGGGAUAACAGCGCAAUCUACUUCAAGAGCCCCUAUCGACAAGUAGGCUUACGACCUCGAUGUUGGAUCAGGGUACCCCAGAGG